rnacentral:snoRNA from 1 species
UUGCAAAUGAUGGAAAAAUAACUAUUUGGAAAAGAAUGACAUGAACAAAGGAACCACUAACUA